rnacentral:rRNA from 1 species
UGAAGCCAGCACGCCGCGUGAGGGAUGAAGGGCUUUUGCUCGUAAACCUCUGUAGUGAGGGAAAAAAUUUCCAUUCUAUGGAAUAUGAUGGUACCUCAAAAGUAAGCCCCGGCUAACUACGUGCCAGCAGCCGCGGUAAUACGUAGGGGGCAAACGUUGUCCGGAUUUACUGGGUGUAAAGGGUGCUCAGGCGGUUUUGUAAGUCAGAAGUGAAAUCCUAGGGCUUAACUCUGGAACUGCUUUUGAUACUGCAAGGCUUGAAUGUGGAAGAGGAGGAUGGAAUUUCUGGUGUAGCAGUGAAAUGCGUAGAUAUCAGAAAGAACACCAGUGGCGAAGGCGGUCCUCUGGUCCACUAUUGACGCUCAAGCACGAAAGCGUGGGGAGCAAACAGGAUUAGAUACCCUGGUAGUCCACGCCUUAAACGAUGAAUACUAGACGUUGGGGUUAAACUCAGUGUCGCAGCUAACGCAUUAAGUAUUCCACCUGGGGA